rnacentral:lncRNA from 13 species
AUGCACUCUGUUGCAAACGAAGGGGAGCGAAUGACGACGAAUGACUUUUUUUUAAAAAAAGGUUUAACUGAACUUUCACCGGUACAGCUUCUUCUGGGGAGUAACAGCUACCAGCCUGCAACGACAACAGCAGCAUCCAAAAAUCACAACUCCAUUAGAAUGAAACACCUCGUUGUGGUGCCUGGAUCCAACUCCAUUAGAAUGAACACCUCGUUGUGGUGCCUGGAUCCAACUCCAUUAGAACGAACACCUCGUUGUGGUGCCUGGAUCCAACUCCAUUAGAAUGAACACCUCGUUGUGGUGCCUGGAUCCAACUCCAUUAGAACGAACACCUCGUUGUGGUGCCUGGAUCCAACUCCAUUAGAACGAACACCUCGUUGUGGUGCCUGGAUCCAACUCCAUUAGAAUUAACACCUUCGUUGUGAUGCCUGGAUCCAACUCCAGUCCAGAGGGGAAAUGGAGACGGAAGAAACAACGGAACCAAACGGAACCAAAUCCGAUUCAACACAUGCUUCAAGAGUUAAGCCAAUAACAUCGACUAACAAUAAUAACAACAAGGAACUUGACACCGACUCAAUAUAAAAAAAAACAACUUUGGUCCAGACAAAACAAUAACCUUUUACGAUUAAAAUAUCUAUUACUUAUUUUUUCCCUGUACAAGUUUAAAACCAUAAUUACAUGGGUUAUUUACAAAUGCACAAUCUUUACGUAGAAAAUAAGUUAAAAAAAAUUAUUAAGAGCACAAGUCUGUACAUUAUGUAUUGAACAAAACGCACUUGAAAACAAAAGUAGAAUUUGUAUUCUUUUUUUUGUAACCCUGCCUGGUGAGGAAGGUGCAGCGGGCACAGGGAUGGUAGUCUCCACAGGGCGGUGCCCGCUAACCACGCACCCCCGAAGAGCGGUGCUCUCUAACCACGCACCCCCGAAGAGCGGUGCUCUAACCACGCACCCCCGAAGAGCGGUGCUCUCUAACCACGCACCCCCGAAGAGCGGUGCUCUCUAACCACGCACCCCCGAAGAGCGGUGCUCUCUAACCACGCACCCCCGAAGAGCGGUGCUCUCUAACCACGCACCCCCAAGAGCAGUGCUCUCUAACCACGCACCCC